AAGUCGUAACAAGGUUUCCGUAGGUGAACCUGCGGAAGGAUCAUUAUCAAUAAUCCAAUUGACACUGUUAACUUUAUAUGUAUGUGGUCUAUCCUUGUGGUAGGCCGCCCUUUUUAACACACUUAAAAAAUGUCUUAUCCAACAGAACCAUAACAACUUUUAACAAUGGAUCUCUUGGCUCCU
rnacentral:misc_RNA from 1 species